CCUACGGGGGGCAGCAGUGAGGAAUAUUGGUCAAUGGGCGCGAGCCUGAACCAGCCAAGUCGCGUGAAGGAUGACUGCCCUACGGGUUGUAAACUUCUUUUAUCGGGGAGUAAAGUGCGGCACGUGUGCCUUUAUGUAUGUACUUUAUAAAAAAGGAUCGGCUAACUUCGUUCCAUCCGCCGCGGUAAUACGGAAGGUCCGAGGGUUAAUCGGGUUUGAUGGGUUUAAAGGGGUCGUAGCUGGGUUGUUAAGUUAGUUGUGAAAGUUGGCGGCGCAAACGCAAAAUUGCAAUUGAUACUGGCAGUCUUGAGUAGAGGAGAGGUAGGCGGAAUGCGUGGUGUAGCGGUGAAAUGCGUAGAGAUCACGAAGAACUCCGAUUGCGAAGGCAGCAUACUAGACUCCCACUGACGCUGAAGCGCGAAAGCGUGGGGAUCAAACAGGAUUAGAUACCCGUGUAGUC
rnacentral:rRNA from 1 species